GCCACACAAUGUUGAAACACUGGUUCCCGUACAAUCACCAAUGUUAAGCAAUGUUGAGCCUGGUCGUACAUAGAUGAGUGGCUUCUUGGGAACAACAGGUGCUAUA